AGCGAACGCUGGCGACAGGCUUAACACAUGCAAGUCGAGCGGGCAUAGCAAUAUGUCAGCGGCAGACGGGUGAGUAACGCGUGGGAACGUACCUUUUGGUUCGGAACAACUGAGGGAAACUUCAGCUAAUACCGGAUAAGCCCUUACGGGGCAAGAUUUAUCGCCGAAAGAUCGGCCCGCGUCUGAUUAGCUAGUUGGUGAGGUAAUGGCUUACCAAGGCGACGAUCAGUAGCUUGUCUGAGAGGAUGAUCAGCCACAUUGGGACUGAGACACGGCCCAAACUCCUACGGGAGGCAGCAGUGGGGAAUAUUGGACAAUGGGCGCAAGCCUGAUCCAGCCAUGCCGCGUGAGUGAUGAAGGCCCUAGGGUUGUAAAGCUCUUUUGUGCGGGAAGAUAAUGACGGUACCGCAAGAAUAAGCCCCGGCUAACUUCGUGCCAGCCGCCGCCGUAA
rnacentral:rRNA from 1 species